ensembl:snRNA U6 U6 spliceosomal RNA
GUGUUUGCUUCUGUAGCAUAUAUACUAAAAUUGGAACCAUACAGAGAAGAUUAGCUAAGGCCCCAGCGCAAGGAUGACAUGCAAAUUCGUGACGUGGUCCAUGUGAAG